GAGGCGCAAACAACAUCGCUUACUGGCGUGGCUCUGGCCAGCAGCCUCUAACAUGGCACAGUUUCCAGAUUCUUCUCCCAGAAACCACCCUGAUGCUCCCCCCACCCCCCCCCCCCGCUACCAAAACCUUGCCACGUAAACCCACUACAUAAGGCAAGAGAACUCAUAAAUGGUUUGAAAGAGAUUUAUAGCAGCAUGACUGAAAAGGAGGAGAAGAAAGAAUUACACGUGGCACAUCCUAGUACAAAAAAGAAAGCGCUCUACAUGAAAUGAUCGGUUGGCAGACUGAAAACAAAGAGAAGAAUGGGCUUCUUCACACUUCAGGAAGCUGAGCUGUCGGUCUGGCUGCAGACAUGGUAGAUGCCAAAGAGCGCCUCAGUGAAGAAAACACCCAAAGCUGCACGAUGAAGAACUCCUCUGGGAUGUAGUGAAGAAAACACCAAAAGCUGCUCAAGAAGGCAUUCCUCAGAGGCUGCAGUGGAGAAACACCAAAAGCUGGACCAUGAAGCUCUCCUCAGGGGAAACGUGCUGAAGAGAUCCUGAAAAAGUUGCACGAUAAAGAACUCCGCAUAGGCCAUGAUGAAGGAAACCGCAGAAGCUGCACGCAGAGGCACUCCUCAGGGGCUGGCAUGAGAAAAAAAAA